GCGUGAGUGACGGAGGCCCUAGGGUUGUAAAGCUCUUUUGGCGGGGACGAUAAUGACGGUACCCGCAGAAUAAGCUCCGGCUAACUUCGUGCCAGCAGCCGCGGUAAUACGAAGGGAGCUAGCGUUGUUCGGAAUCACUGGGCGUAAAGCGCACGUAGGCGGAUUGUUUAGUCGGGGGUGAAAUCCCGGGGCUCAACCCCGGAACUGCCUCCGAUACUGGCAAUCUGGAGUCCGGAAGAGGUGGGUGGAAUUCCUAGUGUAGAGGUGAAAUUCUU
rnacentral:rRNA from 1 species